ensembl:snRNA U6 U6 spliceosomal RNA
UUGCUUUGGCAGCACAUAUACUAAAAUUGGAAUGAUACAGAGAAAAUUAGCAUGGCCCCUGCGCAAGGAUGACACGUAAAUUCGUGAAGCGUUCCAUAUUUUG